GCAGCGCGGGAGGGCUCGCUCCUUCUCUGCCUUCGCCGCCGUGAGGAGGAGGAGCGGCUGUGGUCGGGCCGGGCUCCCUCGGCUCGCCGCCAUGAGGGGCCGCCGCCAUGAGGUCUUCAGGCGAUGGGGGGGAUCGAGGUGACCCGGAGCUGUGGGUGGCCGGGAGCCGCCCGAAGGAGCAGCCCUGAGGGGACCCGACACCGUCGUGUGCGAAACCCCCGAGCCGUGCUGUGCUGGGACAGCCAAACGAGGCAUCCCCCAAACGAGGCAUCGCCGGGAGGGCACUGGAGCCUGCGGAGAGCAGAUGGGAAGGGACAGCCUGCCUGAGAGGCACAGCAAAAGCUCUGGAGCAACCUGGGUGAGGCAAGUGGUUGGUGUGGGGCUUGCUGGAGCAGCAGGAGUGGUCAGGAGAAAAGCUGUCGAUGCUGCUUUGAAGAUCCUUGUUUGAAAGGUAUUGGGAAGAUGGAAACCUGGAGCCCACAGUUUAAACAGGGCAGCUGGAGAAGGACUUGUUUCCAGGAUCUGGCUGUAGGAAUUGGAAACAUCAAAGGUGGUUUGGGGCAAGGUAUAACAAGAAUUACAUGUACAAUUUAUUGUUAAUCUCCUCUCACUGCUUGUUUAAAAUACAUUUUUGUAUGACCUCAAUUAAACAUUUAUAUUUAAGCUUG